CCAGGCUGAGGUAGUAGGUUGUAUAGUUUAGCAUUACACCAUGGGAGAUAACUGUACAGCCUCCUAGCUUUCCUUG
rfam:Scleropages formosus scaffold12933, whole genome shotgun sequence.